GGACGAACGCUGGCGGCGUGCUUAACACAUGCAAGUCGAACGGAAAGGCCCCGCUUUUGUGGGGUGCUCGAGUGGCGAACGGGUGAGUAACACGUGAGUAACCUGCCCUUGACUUUGGGAUAACUUCAGGAAACUGGGGCUAAUACCGGAUAGGAGCUCCUGCUGCAUGGUGGGGGUUGGAAAGUUUCGGCGGUUGGGGAUGGACUCGCGGCUUAUCAGCUUGUUGGUGGGGUAGUGGCUUACCAAGGCUUUGACGGGUAGCCGGCCUGAGAGGGUGACCGGCCACAUUGGGACUGAGAUACGGCCCAGACUCCUACGGGAGGCAGCAGUGGGGAAUAUUGCACAAUGGGCGGAAGCCUGAUGCAGCAACGCCGCGUGCGGGAUGACGGCCUUCGGGUUGUAAACCGCUUUCGCCUGUGACGAAGCGUGAGUGACGGUAAUGGGUAAAGAAGCACCGGCUAACUACGUG
rnacentral:rRNA from 1 species